rnacentral:rRNA from 1 species
GCCGGCCAGUGAAAUACCGCUCUGUCCCCAUCUGAUGCCUAACCCGGACAAGUCAGCCUUGUCGGGGAGAGUGCCUGGCGGGUAGUUUAACUGGGGCGGUUGCCUCCCAAAGAGUAACGGAGGCGCUCAAAGGUCCGCUCGGCCCGGUUGGCAAUCGGGUGUCGAGUGUAAUCGCACAAGCGGGCUUGACUGCGAGAUCGACGGAUCGAGCAGGGACGAAAGUCGGAGAUAGUGAUCCGGUGCCGGCGUACGGACGCGGCAUCGCUCAACGGAUAAAAGGUACCCCGGGGAUAACAGGCUGAUCAUUCCCAAGAGUCCAUAUCGACGGGAUGGUUUGGCACCUCGAUGUCGGCUCGUCGCAUCCUGGGGCUGGAGCAGGUCCCAAGGGUUCGGCUGUUCGCCGAUUAAAGCGGCACGCGAGCUGGGUUCAGAACGUCGUGAGACAGUUUGGUCUCUAUCCUCUGCGCUCGUUGGAAUCCUGAGGAGGCCUGCCCAUAGUACGAGAGGACCUGGGUGGACGAACCUCUGGUAUGCCAGUUGUCGCGCCAGCGGCACGGCUGGUUGGCCACGUUCGGGAGGGAUAACCGCUGAAAGCAUCUAAGCGGGAAGCCCGCUCCAAGAUAAGGAUUCCUGACACCCCCCCCGGGGGUGUGUGAGACCCCAUAGAGAACAUGUGGUUGAUAGACCGGACGUGGAAGCCCCGCGAGGGGUGGAGCCGACCGGCACUAACGGUCGAAGACAACCAACACCACCAU